rnacentral:rRNA from 1 species
GAUGAACGCUGGCGGCGGGCCUAAUACAUGCAAGUCGAGCGAACAGACGAGGAUCGUUCUUCUCUUACGUUAGCGGCGGACGGGUGAGUAACAGGUGUAUAACCGGCCUAUAAGACUGGGAUAACUUCGGGAGACCUGAUCUAGUACCGGUUAAGAGAUUGAACCGCAGGGUUCUUUAGUGAAAGAGCUUUUUGCUGUCACUUGUAGAGGUAUCCUCGCCGCAUUAGCUAGUUGGUAAGGUAACGGCCUACCAAGGCAACGAUGCGUAGCCGACCUGAGAGGGUGAUCAGCCACACUGGAACUGAGACACGGUCCAGACUCCUACGGGAGGCAGCAGUAGGGAAUAUUCGGCAAUGGGCGAAAGCCUGACGGAGCAAUGCCGCGUGAGUGAUGAAGGUCUUCGGAUUGUAAAACACUGUUAUUAGGGAAGAAGAACUGUGUAAGUAACUAUGCCUGUCUUGACGUUACCUACUCAGAAAGCACCGGCUAACUACGUG